GGCCCCAUCGUCCAGCCUGGCCCAGGACGCGACCCUUUCAAGGUCGAGACAUGGGUUCAAAUCCCAUUGGGGUCA
rnacentral:tRNA from 1 species